rnacentral:rRNA from 1 species
UAAGGAAUAUUGCUCAAUGGGAGAAAUCCUGAAGCAGCAACGCCGCGUGGAGGAUGAAGGGUCUAUGACUUGUAAACUCCUGUAAAGAAGGAAAAAAUUCCCAUUAGAUGGGAGAUGAUGGUACUUCUGGAGUAAGCCCCGGCUAACUACGUGCCAGCAGCCGCGGUAAUACGUAGGGGGCAAGCGUUGUCCGGAUUUACUGGGUGUAAAGGGUGCUCAGGCGGAUUUGUAAGUCAGAGGUGAAAUCUUACAGCUUAACUGUGAAACUGCCUAUGAUACUUCAAGCCUAGAGUAUGGAAGGGAGUGAUGGAAUAUCUGGUGUAGCAGUGAAAUGCGUAGAUAUCAGAUAGAACACCAAUGGCGAAGGCAGUCACUUGGUCCAUGACUGACGCUAAAGCACGAAAGCGUGGGUAGCAAACA